UACGUAGGGGGCAAGCGUUGUCCGGAAUCACUGGGCGUAAAGCGCGCGCAGGCGGCGAUCUGCGUCUGGGGUGAAAGCCCGGAGCUCAACUCCGGGAUUGCCUUGGAUACGGGGUCGCUUGAGGAUCGGAGAGGCAAGGGGAAUUCCACGUGUAGCGGUGAAAUGCGUAGAGAUGUGGAGGAACACCAGUGGCGAAGGCGACUUUCUGGGCUGUAACUGACGCUGAGGCGCGAAAGCGUGGGGAGCAAACAGG
rnacentral:rRNA from 1 species